GAUGAAGAACGUAGCGAAAUGCGAUAAGUAGUGUGAAUUGCAGAAUUCAGUGAAUCAUCGAAUCUUUGAACGCACAUUGCGCCCCUUGGUAUUCCAUGGGGCAUGCCUGUUCGAGCGUCAUUUGUACCUUCAAGCUUUGCUUGGUGUUGGGUGUUUGUCUCGCCUUUGCGUGUAGACUCGCCUUAAAAUAAUUGGCAGCCGGCGUAUUGAUUACGGAGCGCAGUACAUCUCGCGCUUUGCACUCAUAACGACAGCGUCCAAAAGUACAUUUUACACUCUUGACCUCGGAUCAGGUAGGGAUACCCGCUGAACUUAAGCAUAUCAAUAAGCGGAGGA
rnacentral:misc_RNA from 1 species